AAAUGCAUUUACUGUAAGUCGCUCUAGAUAAGAGCAUCUGCUAAAUGACUAAAA
rfam:Salmo salar isolate Sally breed double haploid chromosome ssa06, whole genome shotgun sequence.